rnacentral:rRNA from 1 species
UGGGGAAUAUUGCACAAUGGGCGCAAGCCUGAUGCAGCCAUGCCGCGUGUGUGAAGAAGGCCUUCGGGUUGUAAAGCACUUUCAGCGGGGAGGAAGGCGUUAAGGUUAAUAACCUUGGCGAUUGACGUUACCCGCAGAAGAAGCACCGGCUAACCCCGUGCCAGCAGCCGCGGUAAUACGGAGGGUGCAAGCGUUAAUCGGAAUUACUGGGCGUAAAGCGCACGCAGGCGGUUUGUUAAGUCAGAUGUGAAAUCCCCGGGCUCAACCUGGGAACUGCAUCUGAUACUGGCAAGCUUGAGUCUCGUAGAGGGGGGUAGAAUUCCAGGUGUAGCGGUGAAAUGCGUAGAGAUCUGGAGGAAUACCGGUGGCGAAGGCGGCCCCCUGGACGAAGACUGACGCUCAGGUGCGAAAGCGUGGGGAGCAAACAGG